ensembl:lncRNA
AAGAAUUUCAGGUGGCUGGGUUUCACUUUCAGUUUUCCCUUUCAGCUUGCUGUACAGACUGCUGCCACGCUGGCUGGCUAAGUAACUCUAGCCUGGAAGCAACCUAGAUGCCCCUCAACUGAAGAAUGGAUGGAGAAAAUGUGGUACAUUUAAACAAUGGAGUACUAUUCAGCAGGAAAAAAAACAAUGGAAUCUUAAAAUUCACAGGCAAAUGGAUGGAACUAGAAGAAACCAUCUGGAGUGAGACUUGGAUGCAAUGCAACCAGCUGCAUCAAGCUUUUGCCACCAGGAUUGAAAUAUGGUACCCUUGAACUGUACAAACAUAUCUCCAUUUGCAUGCAUGGAAAUCUGCUACUACAAAUGUUUCAGUGGAUGCUGAUGGAAGCAGAAGCAGAGAUCCACAGCCGAGCACUGAGCCAAACUCCUGGAAUCCAGUUUCAGAGAGGUAGGAGUGAUGAACAAAGGGGUCAAGACCAUGCUGGGAAAAGCCACAGAAACAGCUGACCUGAACAAGUAGGAACUCAUAGACCCCAGUCUGACAGCUGGGGAACCAACAUAGGAACCAACCAGGCACCCUGAACCUUUACUUGAGUUGUCAAUAACACCAAGAAAAAAAUCAACAUCAAAACCUAAGAAAUUUAGAUGAUGAUAUAUACUGAGCAAAGUGUAUGUGAUUUUAGCCAAACAUAAAUAGUAUGCAACAUAUGGAAAUUUAUGCUAGAAAUGGAAAAGUUGAUAUGUUGAAAUUUAUGAUAUUUAUAAUUAUGUAUUAAUACACCUUCUUUCUCAGAUGGUUUAUAUUUCAGUCUGAAUUUUUUACUGCAACUUAGACAAAGUUCAAAAAAAAACUGGCAGUUUAUAUCUUUAGCAGUCUAUUUGAUAAUCAUAAAGAAAGUCUCUUGUCCCUUACCUCAAGCAACACUUCUUACCAGCAUGUAAGCAUAGGUACUUACCAGAAUAUGGUGAGCUCAGAACAGUGUAUUCUCUUUUCUAAGAUAGAAAUAACGGUAUGAAUAAUUAGCAUGAGUGUUAUCUUCACAUUAAAAGGCAGUACACAUUGUCUUUGGAUCUUACUCAUGACUUUGGGAUUGGCAGAAAUUUUCCAAUUUUAUUCUUCCUGCCACCCCUCUUGUAUAUAGAAAAUGUAACCAUUUAUCUCUUUAUUCUUAAUUCUUGAUAUCACAUAAGGUGUUAAUCUUUUCUCCAAGGGUCAGAAUAGCUUCUGGUAAAUCAUAAAACUGAUGUUCUGGGAAGAAUUGCUGUAAUUGCUGUUCUAACAGAUUUCUUUGUGCCUUUUCAUCUAUGGAGUAAAGAAAAAGAAAUUUCCCUUUACUAAUUGUCUUUGCUUCUCCUUUGAGUGCCAAUUUCAUUUUGUAGGACUAUUUUAAAACUUUUCUUUAGAAAAUGAUUUCUGUCAUUCUUUAUAAUAUCUAAUUCUCGUGGCAUUCAUUAUACAGGAUUUCUACUGCCGCCUUUUUUUAUUUGACACAUAAAUGUUUUCUUUUCCAAUUUUUACAUAUUUGCAAUGUUUAUACUCUCUACUGCAGAAUAUAUCUACUUAUAUUUUAAUCCUCAGUCCAUUAUAAACUCACUUUAAAAUCCAAUAAAUAAAAACUAAUUUUAAACAUGAUCCAUGCAAAGAGAAAUGAUAUUGCUGGGGAAGUAGCUAUUAGAACCCACCUAACAUGACCUUGAGACACCUCGGCCAUCCUAAACCGAGAGGUAAAAGCACUCCCCCAACUCAGAACUUGAGAUGAGAUCACCAUCAUAAUCAAUUAUGUCUUUGGCUCCUUUCCAACUGCUUAGGCUCAUGGAUUGUGGGCUUAUAGUAGUCCUCUCCACUGCCAUAACAAUGUACCACAGACUGCAUGGCUUCAAAGGCCUACAUUUAUUUUUUCACAUUUCUAUAGACUGGAAGUCCAAUUUGAAGAUGCCAAUUCUGCUUUGUCAGUUGUCAAAUAGACAAAUGACAUUUCUUAUACAGCCAUUCCUCAGCACAUAUUCAUGUGUAUACACACACACACACACACACACACACACACACACACACACACAGAGAGAGAGAGAGAGAGAGAGAGAGAGAGAGAGAGAGAGAGAGAAUAGCAAUGGAAAGCUCUUAUCAAAAAGAAACUAGUCAGGUGGAAUUGCUGAAGGUGAAAAGCAUGAUAAGAAUAUUUUGCAUUAUGUUUUCUAUAAAAUAAACAAGGAAAAUAUAUAUCAACCAUAUCAGAUUAUAAGCUCACUCUUAAUGACCUCAUUUAACAUUUAAUCCAUUGUUCAUUGUAAGAUUUAUUUAUUUUUAUUUAUUUAUAUUUGCGUGUGUAUUUGUGUGUGUGUGUAUUUGUGUGUGUUAGUGAGAUAUGGAUGGAUGCACAAAGAGGCCAGAAAGAAAGAGUAUCAGAUCUUCUGGAACUGGAAUUUCAGGGCUUGUUAGCUGCCAUGUGUGAAUGCUGGGGACUGAACUCUGGUCCUUGCUGCAAGAGUAGCAAGUAGUCUUAACUGCGGAGCAACCUCUCAAGCCACUUUAAAGCCUGCAUCUCCAAAUUCAUUCAAUCCGGGC